GUCGCAUAGGGUCAAAAGUCGGAUUUGAUGUACUUUCGCCUGCAGUGUGAACGUAACCUAAGACCUGCAGUGUGAACGUAGCCUAAGAGACAGGGAUCUGCUGGUACAUGACAUUGUCAUAUUUCAGGUCAUCCACAGGGUUCAAGGUCCUAUUCAAAGGUAUUUGGGUAUUCUGUGUUUUUCAGAUUAAUUAAAAUAGUGAUAAAAAUCUUACCUAUUAAUCAAAAUGGCCAGUUUAAUAACCUAGUACAAUCCAGUUUGCCAAAUUGAUAAUAUGCAAUUAACUUAGAAACCUGAAAUUGCAUAAUUAUUAACAUUCAUCUAUUAACAUUCAUCAUUUUCAACAUUCAUCUAUCUCCAGAAGGAAGCAACAGAAGAGCUGCUGAGGAGAUGGUUGUUAUAUUCUGGAGAGACUAUCUCCAAGAUGCAGAAGAAGAAGAAGGACCUUCCAAGUUAGAGAAGCUAUUGGCUUUUGCAACUGGAGCAACUGCGGUGCCACCUAUUGGCUUUUCCCCAGCACCCUCGAUUGAGUUCAUUCAUAGAGGGGAUGACGACUUCUCUUCUACACCAAUUUUCCCUCUUGCCAACACACUCUGCAUGCCCAGCCUGAGGACCUGCUGCUACUGAUCUGCUGUGAGUGUGGUGAGUCGGUGUGGUGUGAGCAUGAAGAGGAAUCCCUAGGAGGAGAAGCCCCCAUGUGUGAAUAACCCGCUUGUGUUUUGACCUCACUGCCUUCAUGACCCCUGGAGACCCCAACCCCCUUUCCCUUCACCUGUACAUAGUUGCACUUGGUGUGAGAAAAUAAACUAACUGAUCUCUGUGAUUCCAGUCUGCGUCUUGAGUCCCUCCUGAGCUUGUGACAGAUUCACUUGUUGAAUAAUGUUCAUUGCAGUCUCAUUUAUGUUGAUGUCAAUAUCUGGAAUUACAACAUUAUUGUUUGUUUGAAGUUCUGGUAAUGGCCCUUCUUCAUGGAGGUGAGCGUUAUCGACAUAAAAAAUGUUAUUUAUAAACGACUGUAGUCCAACAUUGUUUGUGACACCUGUAUGCCACAGCUGAAGAGGCGUCUGUCUUCCUUGUGUAGAGAGACCAUGGUUCUUCCACUGAUUGACAAAUUCUGUUAAUGCUCUUUCAAUCCUUGGCAAAUAAACAUA